rnacentral:rRNA from 1 species
GAUGAACGCUGGCGGCGUGCCUAAUACAUGCAAGUCGAGCGAACAGACGAGGAGCUUGCUCCUCUGACGUUAGCGGCGGACGGGUGAGUAACACGUGUAUAACCUACCUAUAAGACUGGGAUAACUUCGGGAAACCGGAGCUAAUACCGGAUAAUAUAUUGAACCGCAGGGUUCAAUAGUGAAAGACGGUGUUGCUGUCACUUAUAGAUGGAUCCGCGCCGCAUUAGAUAGUUGGUAAGGUAACGGCUUACCAAGGGAACGAUGCGUAGACGACCGGAGAGGGUGAUCGGCCACACUGGAACUGGGACACGGUCCAGACUCCUACGGGAGGCAGCAGUAGGGAAUCUUCCGCAAUGGGCGAAAGCUUGACGGAGCAACGCCGCGUGAGUGAUGAAGGUCUUCGGAUCGUAAAACUCUGUUAUUAGGGAAGAACAAAUGUGUAAGUAACUAUGCACGUCUUGACGGUACCUAAUCAGAAAGCCACGGCUAACUACGUG